rnacentral:lncRNA from 1 species
AUGGCAACCCACAUCACAAAGGGGACAACCCCAAGUUCUCGGCAGAACAAGGCUGGGUGCCACUUUGCCUGUGAGCUGACUGGAGAGAGGAGUUUGACCACUUGGCUCUCUCUGCGUGUCGCAGACAUGGCUGAUUUCUGGAGAAUUAGCUUCUUCCUGAGUUUGGAAGAGGAUGAUAUCUUCUACCCCAUCCUCAGGAUCAUGCUGAUCAUUUCAUUAUUUGUAUUCAUUAUGACCCUGGGGAAGUGGCAGGGUCGGAGGACAAGGAGGUACAACUGCAGAGACAAUGCAGAGAAUCACAGAGCUGCAGACCUCCACAGUGCUUCACAGUGCUCAAGGACAGACUGUUCCCUGAUAUCGGAGAGGGAAAAUACACGUGAAAGACUCUGGAAUCUGGAAAGGAGACUUAAGGAAUUAAACAGUUACUUGGAAAUGUCAGUGAUGGAGGUGUUAGAGGACACCAAUGAGCCACUCACUUCUGAUAAAGCAGUGGAAACCAGAUCGUCACCGGAGAUGUCUCUGUCCUCUCGGAGUGACAGCUCCCUCACUUCCAUCGAGACAGCGGAAGAGUGGCACUCUUUCAACAAGGCACUGGGAGCCCACAGCCCCUCAAAGGCCUCCCUGUCCUCUAGGAGCGAUAAAUCCCUCACUCCCGUCGAGGCAGUGGGAGCUGGGUGCUCUUCAGGGGCCUCUCUGUCCUCCUGGAGCGACAGCUCCCUUGCUGCCAUUGUGGCAACAGAACCUGACUGCUCUUUGAUGGCCCCUCUGCCCCCUUCCAGGAAAAGCUCCUGCACUUCUGCCAAAGCAGAUGAAAGCAGCUGCAUUUCACAGCUGACCCUCAGCACUCCUCUGCACGGAGCAGAUUUGGGUCAUGCUGCCAUGGCCCAGCCUGACCUCAUGCUUUCUGAUGCUCUUGAGCCUCAGGAAGUCCAGGAGACCUUGGACUGUGUUGUCCCAGAAGGGAAACCAGAGGAGGAAACGGGCCUGGCAAUACAUGGAGAAGGGACUUUGCAGGAAAAGUCUGCUCCUCAGAUGCCUCAGCAACCAUCAGAGCCCCAUGUGGAGGUGGAGCCCAGGGUGUGUAAGCCGCUCUUCCUGGAUGAGGCUGUGAAAAGCCAGCUGGAGCGGCACAUGAUAAAAAUACAGAUACAGCGAUGCUUUGGGCUACCAGAGAGGGUUCUGGCCUCCUACAAGAAGUUCUCAGAGACCAUCCAGGAGCUACAAGACUGCCAUCCUUCUCCACAGAGGCACACUGCACUGCCCUACCACUCGCCUUUCCAUCACUGGGACAGGCACGUUCGCACCAGGAGGAGAGCAGUGCGGCCCCGUGAGCCACAGCAAGAGUCUACAGCCCGUGUGAAAACAAGCACACGAGGAACACAGACAUCUGUCCACUCUGUGCCAGCAGCUUUUGUGAUAGUGGCAGAAGAGGUGCCUCGUGAAGAUCUGGAGGGACCCCAGCUGAAGAGGAUACGUAGGGGUACAGCUAGAAGCAGCAGCUCAGCCAGAAAGAAGACCCAGCCUGGCAGCUGCACAAAGGAGCCGGGCCCUGUGACACAAGGGGGUGAUCCCGGUCCCUCCUUUUCCAUCCAGGAAGAGCAGACAGUGCCACAGAGCAAGGGAGCUCCUCAGGAGAAGGGAGGGCAGGACAAUGAGAACGCCACCGUGCCCAGCGGGGGAAGCACGGGGAUCCAGGAGCUGUCACAAGGCAGGACAGCUCCUUCAGGAAAUAAGUCCCCACAAAUUGAAGAGCCUUUGAGUAAGGACACUCCCAUAACUGUGUCACCACCUCCAAACCCUGCAGAGACCAGCCGGGAAGAAACACCCAGCCUGGAAGACACGUUCAGAGCACUCAUAAACUUCUACAGGGUCAGCACGAUGAUUGAAAACCAGCAGAACCAGCUGCUGGCUUCCUGGCUGGAGCAGUCCCAGGACAACGUGGAGAACUCAAGGUCAGAGCCAGCAGCAGAGAGUCCCGUUCCCACACUGUGCGGAGCACAGGACAAAAUGCAGAAGGAUAAGGGACUCAGGCAGGAUGGAGUAAGGUCCAGGAAGUUCUGCCCCAAGUGCGGCAAAGCAGCCAGGGCGCCUGGGAGUGAAGGCAGCUGGACUUCAGCUCCAGUUGCAACUGCAGCACCAGGCACAGGAGGAGACGAGGCAGUGGGAAAGAAGCCUCUAUCUGGAGAAGGGGCCAAAAGGGAGCAAGGCCAGAAUCAAACUGCUGAUGCUGCCCAGCAGCCAGAGGGGGCCCGUGUCUUCCACUACGUGGUAUCGAUCACAGCAGUCAAGCACAGGACCCCGCUGUCACAAACACAGUGGCUGCCCAAGUGUGAAUCAGCCACAGACUGGAGCCCAACACCAGAGAAACCAGCUUUGCCAUGCUGCUGCUAUGGUUGUUUCACUUCCGUCAUCUUCUGCCUGCAGAGGGCAUGGGCCAAGCUCCUAAGUGCAGGGAAAGCCCUCUUUUCCAAGAUAAGGAAGAAGUGA